AUUCAGUUUUGAUACUGAGGUGUCAUGACAGCCUGUAAUUUCAGCUCAACUGCUUCCCCCAUUUCUUGUCUUAAUGUGCUUGAAAUACACAUGGCUUGAUAAAAGCCAUUAUGCACUUACUACAAAUGCAAGCUCUUAAGGAAGGACAAGGUGGGGAAAAGAAUAUUCAGAGUAUAUAUACCAUUAGAAAUCAUCCUCAUCCUUUGAUAACUGUGCUUGAACACAGACCUGAUUGCUGGCCAGUGUUUUUGCAGCAGCUGACAGCGUUUUUCCAGCAGUGCCCUGAAAGAAGUUUCAUGCAUUCAAAUAAUGGCACCAUUUCUGUGGUAUCUGUAUUGUGAACCAUCUCAGUUACAAGAAUAUGCUAAACUCCGACUAGCCCUGCUGAAAGUCUUACUUCAACCCCAGGUUCUUUGUGACAAAGAUCAACCAUCAAUACUGGAACAGCAGAUACUUCAACUGUGUUGUGACAUAGUUCCAUGUUUGCAGGUAAAAGAUUUGAUACAGACAACAGAGGCGAUGAUGUUUAUUGAGGAAGUAUGUUUAAGCCUUUUGCGUCAUCCUGUUUUCUGGAAAAUUCAGCUUACCCAG
rnacentral:lncRNA from 1 species